GCGUCGCUAGCUCAAUGGUAGAGCAGAGGCCUCUUAAGCCUAAGGUUCCGGGUUCGAUCCCCGGGCGGCGCACCA
rnacentral:tRNA from 1 species